rnacentral:rRNA from 1 species
GACGAACGCUGGCGGCGUGCUCAACACAUGCAAGCCGAACGGAAAGGCCCUGCUUUUGUGGGGUGUUCGAGUGGCGAACGGGUGUGUAACACGUGAGUAACCUGCCCUCGACUUUGGGUUAACUUCAGGAAACUGGGGCUCAUACCGCAUAGGUGCUCCUCCUGCAUGGCGGGGGUCGGACAGUUUCGGCGGUUGGGGAUGCACUCUCGGCCUAUCAGCUUGUUGGUGGGGUAGUGGCCUACCAAGGCUUUGACGGGCAGCCGGCCUGAGAGGGUGACCGGCCACAUUGGGACUGAGAUACGGCCCAGACGCCUACGGGAGGCAGCAGUGGGGAAUAUUGCACAAGGGGCGGAAGCCUGAUGCAGCAACGCCGCAUGCGAAAUGACGGCCUUCGGGUUGUAAAACGCUUUCGCCUGGGAAGAAGCGUAAGUGACAGUAAUGGGUAAAGAAGCACCGGCUAACUACGUG